AACAAGACAUCAGGCAGAAGUUCCUAUCACCUGUCUUCAGCAUUCUCAAGACGUGUGCUAAGAAUUCCACGGCAUUAUUUCAAAUCGGGAUGACCUCAGUGUUGCCCAGGCUGUUCCCAGCUAGAAGAGCUGCUCCCGUGUGUUAUGUGACAGCUGCGUUUGCCCACAGAAACAUUUCCUCAGUAUAGAAAAUUCUGAAAUUAUAAAUGAGCAAAGACGAAACUUAAAAUCAACGCUAGCAUCACUCCCAGAGGUACUUCCUGGGAAUGCGUCAGUGACUUCCUGUAAGGCACUAUGACGUGGCGGUCAAAGCAUUUCUUCUGUCAUUCCGAUUUGUCUGGAACUUGAUUUACAACGUUAUGUUCUCUCCUAAGACUCCAUCACAAUCUCCUCUUGCUUGUCUGUUUUGUUUACUGUCUGUUCUAUCUCAAUAACACUUUGGUCCAUAACACUUUUUGGGACUUUUGAACAUGUUUGAGACUCGACACCCGAAGUGGGGAGUUUCUGGGUGGAAAGACAGUAAAAUCGAUGAUUCCGAUGGGCGUUGUCUGUUGCCUUCUUGAGAGGCUGCCCCCAUCUGCUAUCUGCUAGUUUGUAGCAGUGUGGUUAGGGUUAACUCUCUAGCUUUAAAAUAAACUCUACUUCUCAAAAACA